rnacentral:rRNA from 1 species
UACGUAGGUGGCGAGCGUUGUCCGGAUUUACUGGGCGUAAAGGGAGCGUAGGCGGACUUUUAAGUGAGAUGUGAAAUACCCGGGCUCAACUUGGGUGCUGCAUUUCAAACUGGAAGUCUAGAGUGCAGGAGAGGAGAAUGGAAUUCCUAGUGUAGCGGUGAAAUGCGUAGAGAUUAGGAAGAACACCAGUGGCGAAGGCGGCUUACUGGACUGUAACUGACGCUGAGUCACGAAAGCGUGGGUAGCAAACAGGAUUAGAUACCCUGGUA